AGGAAGGUAGUGUAGUUAACACCUGCAUUAUUUGACGUUACCUACAGAAGAAGCACCCGGCUAACUCCGUGCCAGCAGCCGCGGUAAUACGGAGGGUGCGAGCGUUAAUCGGAAUUACUGGGCGUAAAGCGCAUGCAGGCGGCCUGUUAAGUCAGAUGUGAAAGACCCGGGGCGUUAACCUCGGAAUUGCAUUUGUAAACUAGGCAGGCUAGAGUCUUGUAGAGGGGGGUAGGAAGUUUCUAGGUGUAGCGGUGAAAUAGCGUAGAGAUCUGAAGGAAUACCAGUGGCGAAGGCGGCCCCCUCGGACAAAGACUGACGCUCAGAUGCGAAAGCGUGGGGAGCAAACAGGAUUAGAUACCCCUGGUAG
rnacentral:rRNA from 1 species